rnacentral:rRNA from 1 species
GGAUGAACGCUAGCGGCGCGCUUAAUGCAUGCAAGUCGAGCGAUGAGGCCCUCUUCGGGGGGUACAUCAGCGGCAGACGGGUGAGUAACACGUAGGUGAUCUACCCCAGAGACGGGGAUAACGGGUGGAAACAUCCGCUAAUACCGGAUAGACUUGUUCGGUCAAAGGGACAAGGAAAGGCUCCGGCGCUCUGGGAGGAGCCUGCGGCCCAUCAGCUAGUUGGCGGGGUAACGGCCCACCAAGGCAAAGACGGGUAGGGGGUGUGAGAGCAUGGCCCCCCACAAUGGGACUGGAACGCGGCCCAUACUCCUACGGGAGGCAGCAGCAGGGAAUAUUGCACAAUGGACGGAAGUCUGAUGCAGCGACGCCGCGUGGAUGAAGAAGGCCCUCGGGUUGUAAAAUCCUUUACAGGGGGAAGAGGAAGGACGGUACCCCUGGAACAAGUGUCGGCUAACUACGUGCCAGCAGCCGCGGUAAGACGUAGGACACAAGCGUUAUCCGGAUUUACUGGGCGUAAAGCGUCUGCAGGCGGACAGGUAAGUUGGGCGUGAAAGCUCCGGGCCCAACCCGGAGAGGUCGUUCAAUACUGCGUGUCUAGAGGGUGUCAGAGGGGAGUGGAAUUUCCGGAGUAGCGGUAAAAUGCGCAGAGAUCGGAAAGAACACCAAUGGCGAAGGCAGCUCCCUGGGGCAACCCUGACGCUAAGAGACGAAAGCUAGGGGAGCGAACAGGAUUAGAGACCCUGGUAGUCCUAGCCCAAAACGAUGGAUGCUGGAUGUGGGGCCAUAGCGCUCCGUGUCGAAGCGAACGCGUUAAGCAUCCCGCCUGGGGACUACGGCCGCAAGGUNUAAACUCAAAGGAAUUGACGGGGGCCCGCACAAGCGGUGGAGCAUGUGGUUUAAUUCGAAGCAACGCGCAGAACCUUACCAACCCUUGACAUC